GUCCAGGCAGCCACCUGGCCUGAGACUGGCCUGGCUUUGCCGUUUCCUUUGGCAGCUCCCAAGACCUGAGGGUAGGAGUCCUGGGCAGCUGGGACCUGCCAGGCCAUUCUGUAUCUCCCAUGGGGCUCACGACCCAGGGACCCCCGUUCCUAUCUGAGAGGACCACUUCUUCCUGAAGCUGGAACCCGAUACUUGUUGGUGCCAACAACUGAAACCAGAUGUGCAGACACAUGUUUUCACGUGGAGCACGUGUGUCCAUUUGGAGGCCAGAAGUCAACCUCAGGUCUCAGGAGGGAGAGCUGCUUAGCCUCAACCUGGCGCAUGGGCACAGGCUACCACGCAGACAAGAAAUGAAGGCACUGAAGGAAGCUAAGAUGCCCCCAUUGCUGCUGCCUGCUGCUGCCUGCUGCUGCCUGCUGCUGCCUGCUGCUGCCUGCUGCUGCCUGCUGCUGCCUGCUGCUGCCUGCUGCAUUGGUAACCCUCCCCAGCAUCCCUGGAGAGACACCAUCCCAGUGUUCUAUACAACAGGCAAUAAGUAAACACCUGUUGGGGCUAGUGCCAUCGAUAUUGCCCGUGCUCAAUUAAAUAUGUCAUUUGUUUGGGAACUGGGGGGCCUUCUGUGUGGCAGUUUCAACGUUAAUAAACGAAUGAGUAAGUCAGCAAA
ensembl:antisense Hnf4aos hepatic nuclear factor 4 alpha, opposite strand